rnacentral:lncRNA from 1 species
UCACCAAAAAUAUAUAACAUUAAAAAGAAAGAAAUUUUUUUCUCGUAUUCAUCACAAAAAAAUAUAUUUUUGUACAAAAAAUAUAUAUAGCAUUAAAAAAAAUCCAACAAGCUCAUCAAAAAAUAUAUAAAAUUAAAAAAAAAAAAGAAUCUAUUUUUUUCUCAUAUUCAUCACAAAUAACAUACUUUUAUAAAAAAAUCGUAAUUUUAUUAAGAAACAAAUUUUUUUUAAGAACCCUAAAAUCGAGCCAAAGAAACAUAUUCUUUAGAGUCAAAAUCAGCCCCAAAUCAUUCAUUUUUUGAACAAAUUGACAUGGAGAUAUGAUAGAUACUUCAAUCACAAUUAAAAUGCCUCAAAUAUUAUGAAGAUCAAUUCACUAUUGAGAUAGUUCUUCAAAAAAUGGCGGAUAUUUCAUUUCACAAAAUUUUCAAUAGAAAAACGCAACAAAAAAAUCCAUAUAAAUAAAUGUACUCAAUGAUAAAUCAACAUACCUGACGUAUUCGAUUUAUGAAGCCUUGAUGAUCAAAAUUAACUGAUCAAUUCAAUAAAAACGAUCAAUACGUCGAUCAAAAAUCAAAGUGUUUUUCAUUGGAUACAAUUCUUGGAGCAGCAACAUUUUCGGUAGAAAUCAUCCUCCAAAAUUCAUCAUUUUCAACAAAUCAAAAUAGGAAAAAGUUUAAGGCUUUAGUAAUGAAUCAAAGCCCUACCUUUCCAUACAUAUUUAUGGGGUAUUGAAGCUCUGAUUGACAAAAUGGCGGAAAUUUCGCAGUUUCAAAAAUCCGCCAUUUCAAUCCACCAAAAACCGUUCUUCAUCGCUUUUUUAUUCAAUAAACAAUUAUUUGUAGAAAAUUUCAAUUGCAUAAGUGUAAUAAUUCACCAAAAAAAAUAAAAAAUAGUCAAAAAAUUGAAUAAAAAAAG